rnacentral:rRNA from 1 species
UGCAUAUCCAAAAAGCGGAGGAAAGGAAACCAACCGGGAUUGCCUUAGUAACGGCGAGUGAAGCGGCAAAAGCUCAAAUUUGAAAUCUGGUACCUUCGGUGCCCGAGUUGUAAUUUGGAGAGGGCAACUUUGGGGCCGUUCCUUGUCUAUGUUCCUUGGAACAGGACGUCAUAGAGGGUGAGAAUCCCGUGUGGCGAGGAGUGCGGUUCUUUGUAAAGUGCCUUCGAAGAGUCGAGUUGUUUGGGAAUGCAGCUCUAAGUGGGUGGUAAAUUCCAUCUAAAGCUAAAUAUUGGCGAGAGACCGAUAGCGAACAAGUACAGUGAUGGAAAGAUGAAAAGAACUUUGAAAAGAGAGUGAAAAAGUACGUGAAAUUGUUGAAAGGGAAGGGCAUUUGAUCAGACAUGGUGUUUUGUGCCCUCUGCUCCUUGUGGGUAGGGGAAUCUCGCAUUUCACUGGGCCAGCAUCAGUUUUGGUGGCAGGAUAAAUCCAUAGGAAUGUAGCUUGCCUCGGUAAGUAUUAUAGCCUGUGGGAAUACUGCCAGCUGGGACUGAGGACUGCGACGUAAGUCAAGGAUGCUGGCAUAAUGGUUAUAUGCCGCCCGUCUUGAACCCACGGGACCA